rnacentral:rRNA from 1 species
UCCAGACUCCUACGGGAGGCAGCAGUGGGGAAUAUUGCACAAUGGGGGAAACCCUGAUGCAGCGACGCCGCGUGAGCGAAGAAGUAUUUCGGUAUGUAAAGCUCUAUCAGCAGGGAAGAAAAAAAUGACGGUACCUGAGUAAGAAGCACCGGCUAAAUACGUGCCAGCAGCCGCGGUAAUACGUAUGGUGCAAGCGUUAUCCGGAUUUACUGGGUGUAAAGGGAGCGUAGGCGGCGCGUUAAGUCUGAUGUAAAAGCCCGAGGCUCAACCACGGGAGUGCAUUGGAAACUGGCGGGCUGGAGUGCCGGAGAGGUAAGCGGAAUUCCUGGUGUAGCGGUGAAAUGCGUAGAUAUUAGGAGGAACACCAGUGGCGAAGGCGGCUUACUGGACGGCAACUGACGCUGAGGCUCGAAAGCGUGGGGAGCAAACAGGAUUAGAUACCCCGGUACU